rnacentral:lncRNA from 1 species
UCCAAACCUCUAAAGAAAUAAGAAAGAAUAUCAAAUGAGCAUGAAGCAUAAAACAAUUCUUUAUUUCAUUGCAUGAAAAAUAAAUACAAGAUAAAGAAAAUAAAUCUGUGUUGUAGGCUUCAUCAUCUUUUCGAGUUGGAGGAGUCUAGCCUUUCAUGGAACUCUUGCACGCUGACAUUCUGAGGUUGAGCAGAUGAAUUAUUUGGAAGGUUGG